rnacentral:rRNA from 1 species
UAGGGAAUCUUCGGCAAUGGGGGGAACCCUGACCGAGCAACGCCGCGUGAGUGAAGAAGGUUUUCGGAUCGUAAAGCUCUGUUGUUAAGGAAGAACGAGUGUGAGAAUGGAAAGUUCAUACUGUGACGGUACUUAACCAGAAAGGGACGGCUAACUACGUGCCAGCAGCCGCGGUAAUACGUAGGUCCCGAGCGUUGUCCGGAUUUAUUGGGCGUAAAGCGAGCGCAGGCGGUUAGAUAAGUCUGAAGUUAAAGGCAGUGGCUCAACCAUUGUAGGCUUUGGAAACUGUUUAACUUGAGUGCAGAAGGGGAGAGUGGAAUUCCAUGUGUAGCGAUGAAAUGCGUAGAUAGAUGGAGGAACACCGGUGGCGAAAGCGGCUCUCUGGUCUGUAACUGACGCUGAGGCUCGAAAGCGUGGGGAGCGAACAGG